rnacentral:rRNA from 1 species
GGAAGUAAAAGUCGUAACAAGGUUUCCGUAGGUGAACCUGCGGAAGGAUCAUUACAGUGUUGGUGAAAAGAGACAAAACGGCCGCUUUUGGACGCGACGAGCCUAGCUUUCCGCAGUCCACUGGCGGCCGUCUGUUUCUGACCACCCAAACAACCACCCCACCCCUGCUUAAUACGCACCUCUUGUUUCCUCGGCGGGCCCGCCCGCCGCAGGACCCCUUUUAGAAACGCUUUUGCAAACCACGCAGUCGUUCGUCUGAGCGGAGUUUAUACACGCAAUCAAAUUAAAACUUUCAACAACGGAUCUCUUGGUUCUGGCAUCGAUGAAGAACGCAGCGAAAUGCGAUAAGUAGUGUGAAUUGCAGAAUUCAGUGAAUCAUCGAAUCUUUGAACGCACAUUGCGCCCUUUGGCAUUCCGAAGGGCAUGCCUGUUCGAGCGUCAUUGCAACCCCUCCAGCAGCCUCUUGCUGGGCGUUGGGCGUCUUUGUGGCUGCGGCCACUCGCCUGAAAAGCAUCGGCGCCGGCGCGUCGGCCCUGCGCGUAGCACAUUGUUCGCGCCUGGGACCCCGUCGCGGCGGCCGCCGUCAACGCAGCGCAGCACGCACUGCUGCCUCCAUGACUUGACCUCGGAUCAGGUAGGGAUACCCGCUGAACUUAAGCAUAUCAAUAAGCGGAGGA